UACGUUUUUUCUUCCAUUGGCUUUAAUUUUGUAUUAAAGAAACAACUGUGAAAAUAUUAAUAGUGUAAUUAAUAUGUACCUGAACUACAUUUCAGUCACUCAGUAAAGUGACAACUCAAAAUAUCAUUGUCAACAGAUCUGAAGAAAUUGCCACUGCGUCUUUAGACCGUUUUCGUCAGACGAGAGACACAGUUCUGACUCUGAUUACUGGUUGCUGUACGUAUCUAUCCACAUCAAGGCUGUUUUUGAGAGAGACUCGUGAAGAUUCAAGACAGCUCUUAGAGGAUUUGCAGUUUAAAAGUGAAAUAAUUGUGAAAUAAGAGUGUGAAUGAUUAACCUGUGUUUUAUUGAAG